rnacentral:misc_RNA from 1 species
AACCAUAGAAACCUGCGGAGUACCUGCGGAAGGAUCAUUACAGAGUUGCAAAACUCCCUAAACCAUUGUGAACGUUACCUAAACCGUUGCUUCGGCGGGCGGCCCGGGUCCUUCCCGGCGCCCCUCGGCCCUCGCGGGCGCCCGCCGGAGGUAAACCAAACUAUUGCAUUGUAUGGCCUCUCUGAGUCUUCUGUACUGAAUAAGUCAAAACUUUCAGCAAUGGAUCUCAGAUCGGAAGAG